rnacentral:misc_RNA from 1 species
GAUGAAGAACGCAGUGAAAUGCGAUAAGUAAUGUGAAUUGCAGAAUUCAGUGAAUCAUCGAAUCUUUGAACGCACAUGGCGCCUUCCAGUAUCCUGGGAGGCAUGCCUGUCCGAGCGUCGUUUCAACCCUCGAGCCCCCGUGGCCCGGCGUUGGGGAUCUGCCACGGCAGGCCCCUAAAACCAGUGGCGGACCCGAAGGCCCUCUCCUUUGCGCAGUAGCAUCAGCCUCGCAUUGGGAUCCCUCGGCGUCCUGCCUCUAAACCCCCCACAAGUCCGCUCCGGCGGCACCAAGGUUGACCUCGGAUCAGGUAGGAAUACCCGCUGAACUUAAGCAUAUCAAUAAGCGGAGGA